rnacentral:rRNA from 1 species
GCCUACGGGACGCAGCAGUCGGGAAUAUUGCACAAUGGAGGAAACUCUGAUGCAGUGACACCGCGUAUAGGAAGAAGGUUUUCGGAUUGUAAACUAUUUUAGACAGGGAAGAAAAAAGACAGUACCUGUAGAAUAAGCUCCGGCUAACUACGUGCCAGCAGCCGCGGUAAUACGUAGGGGGCAAGCGUUAUCCGGAUUUACUGGGUGUAAAGGGAGCGUAGGCGGCGAUGCAAGUCAGAAGUGAAAGCCCGAGGCUCAACUCCGGGACUGCUUUUGAAACUGUGUUGCUAGAUUGCAGGAGAGGU